GACGAAGGAUGCAAGCGUUAUCCGGAUUCAUUGGGUUUAAAGGGAGCGUAGGUGGCCUUGUAAGUCAGUGGUGAAAUCCUGUCGCUUAACGAUAGAAUUGCCAUUGAUACUGCAGGGCUUGAGUACAGUUGCUGUUGGCGGAAUAUGACAUGUAGUGGUGAAAUACAUAGAUAUGUCAUAGAACACCGAUUGCGAAGGCAGCUGACGAAACUGUAACUGACACUGAGGCUCGAAAGUGUGGGGAUCAAACAGG
rnacentral:rRNA from 1 species